UACAGAGGUCUCAAGCGUUGUCCGGAUUCAUUGGGCGUAAAGGGUGCGUAGGCGGCGCGGUAAGUCGGGUGUGAAAUUUCGGAGCUUAACUCCGAAACUGCAUUCGAUACUGCCGUGCUUGAGGACUGGAGAGGAGACUGGAAUUUACGGUGUAGCAGUGAAAUGCGUAGAGAUCGUAAGGAAGACCAGUGGCGAAGGCGGGUCUCUGGACAGUUCCUGACACUGAGGCACGAAGGCCAGGGGAGCAAACGGG
rnacentral:rRNA from 1 species